rnacentral:lncRNA from 1 species
AACUCACAGCAAAAUACAAAACCGAUAAUAUUUUUCUGUCUCAACCUCCACCUUAGUUCUGUUCCCCUGAGCAAUGCUUUAAAAGGUGGGGUGAGGAGGAUUGUUCUUUCUGAUGAAAUAUGCUGCACUGAACAAAUCCAAGAAAUUUUGGAGAAGAUUAUAUACUCCUGACAGCCCA